UAAUGGCAUUUCUUCCAUACCACAGCUGAGUUUGUGCGCAUCUGUUCUUCCUGUUAGAUUAGCUUUGAAACAUGGCUGAGGCUACACCUGUUGCUCCCAACGCUGAGUCGUUGGAAUGGCCAAAGAAGGAUAAACGGCGAUUCCUCCAUGUCGUCUAUCGAGUUGGUGAUCUUGACCGCACCAUCAAGUAUUACUUUGUAUCUCUUUAAUUUUAUUCAUCCAUAAUCACGAAAAGAUAGAAACUUUUACCAAUGGAACAAUCUUUGUUUUAUUCGUCCAUAACCACGAAAAGAGUGGAACUGUUAGAGUAAUCUGUUGAAGAUUAUAUUAUAUAUAUUCAAAGGAUGAUGGAGACGA